GUGGGGAAUAUUGGGCAAUGGGGGCAACCCUGACCCAGCAACGCCGCGUGAAGGAAGAAGGCUUUCGGGUUGUAAACUUCUUUUAGCAGGGACGAAGAAAGUGACGGUACCUGCAGAAUAAGCUCCGGCUAACUACGUGCCAGCAGCCGCGGUAAUACGUAGGGAGCAAGCGUUAUCCGGAUUUACUGGGUGUAAAGGGCGCGUAGGCGGGAGUACAAGUCAGGUGUGAAAUCUGAGGGCUUAACCCUCAAACUGCACUUGAAACUGUAUUUCUUGAGUGAUGGAGAGGCAAGUGGAAUUCCUAGUGUAGCGGUGAAAUGCGUAGAUAUUAGGAGGAACACCAGUGGCGAAGGCGACUUGCUGGACAUUAACUGACGCUGAGGCGCGAAAGCGUGGGGAGCAAACAGGAUUAGAAACCCUAGUAGUCC
rnacentral:rRNA from 1 species